GCCUUGGUGGCGGAAUUGGUAUACGCGCCAGUCUUAGGAACUGGUGGGCUUGUCCCAUGAGAGUUCGAGUCUCUCCCAAGGCA
rnacentral:tRNA from 2 species